GGGGGCUUCGUGGUGCAGUGGUUAGCACUCUCGGCUCGCAACCGAGAGAGCCCGGGUUCGAUUCCCGGGCGGAGUGGAAAAAUUUGGGUGGCUUCUCCGAUACCCUACGUAGCCCCUGCCCAGCCAGCAGUUUAGCAGGUAUUAAUCGGGGGUUGUGUCCUGUCUCCUGGGGUCUGAUAUCUUGGCGCGCCAUCUUUCUUGCAAGGAAAAUGGAGAGGUCAGUCUCCCGGUGAGCCAGUCUUCUUUUUCAGCACUUUACGACAUCCUGCCGGAACACUCCUUUGCGUCACCAUCCUUCGGCUUGGGCCAGUUGUUUACACGUGAAUGCGAUGUGUCCCUGCCGCUGCCUUGUACCCUGCCCCGGAGGAGGCAACAAGUUGGCACCGUCUCAUUUGGCUUCCCAGUGUUCCAAGCUUUUCGUCCUCACUGGUAUUUAGUUUGUCACUGAUUACCGUCUCAGAGGUUCUCAGGAAGGCUUUGUACUUGGUGGAGUGGACUUGUUGCCUCUGCUUUAGGCGUUGUGCUUUUAAGAUUAAAGGCCGUCACAGUAACUUGGGAUCUACUACUUCACGUGUGUGUGUGGCGAGGAAUUACUACGACCUGCCUGACUGACUGGCUCCAAGUGGUGGUGACCUGGGGUGUUGUCAGCCUCAGCGGGUCAUGUCUCCUGGGUAGUAAUUACUGGUGCCGGACCUGGACGGAAAACAUCGGCAUUCACAUUGAGUUCUUAACCGCCUCGGGUCAGCGUCGUUAGGCAGAGGGGAUGCCGAGGUGAGCACAUGUUUCUCUCCUUCCUCCUGGCACUGCCGUCAUCACUGUUCUCUCCUUCCUUCCUUCCUUCGUAAAGAGCUCAAUGUUACCAGCAGGUCGGACUUACAGCUGUUCUCCCCAUUACAAUUAGAUGACAGUAUGGCCGUAACAAUUAAAUGACACAACCAAUUAUUACGGGGCCAAUGUUCGUCCGUGCACGACCCAGCCGCUGAUGCCGCCGCCAACACAACCAGGUCGCUCCUGUCCACUCUGUCCACUUCACUAUAGUCGGUUCCUGGCGGCCUGAGCCUUCAGGGUGGACUUGGCACCAUUGCUUGGGUGACGGUGCUGGCGCUCACUGGACAAUUCUUAACUUGUUCCAACGCGCACAAAAUUGACUCUGUAUUCCUACCAAAACCCUGUGUGAGCUGUAGGCAACAGAUUGCACCAAUGAAAACUAAUGCAAUAAUAUCUUUAUUGAUAAGUGUGUGCCUUUUGAACUAUUGUAAAUAAAUACAAAACAACAUCCAUAACAAAAUUAAGUCGGAACUGCACGCAAGCGGACAAUGUCCAGCGGCUGAAGCAACUGUUGGUGCCAGACUUUUUUAAUUACUUUUCACUGCUACAAAUUGCCAGGGUACACAAUGUCACUCGUUAAGUAACUCAUUCACUGUGAGAUUUCUUGGUAUAUUUUUGGUCCUGUGUAGUGAUGCUGCCUAACGUAAACAUUGGCAAGAACCUUGUCAUUUCUUUCAGUGCUUCCAUUACUCCUGAAAUAUGUUUAUAAUAUUUGUGGGCGAUAAAUAGCCACAAGGAAGAGCCAUUACAAGAAUAACUACAUUUAUAUAACAAAUGUGUUGACUUUAAGCAGCAGAGACUGUGUCAUGGCAGCGAUAUUGCCGCAGCUCAGACCUAGCAAACAACAGCCAGUGAGCGGCGCAGACACCGCCACUCACGCCAAGUCCGCCCCCGAAGGAAAAUCUGCACGACUACAGAUGGAAGGCAAGACUCCAGAAUCAGCACAGUCCGCAGCAGUCCAAGAAGGAGCAGAGGGAGUCAGUCCAGGGCCAGCCAGUCCUGUGAUGGACCACACACUUUACUACCAAGGACACUUAUACACUUACAUACACUUACAUACAGUCCAAGAAGGAGCAGAGGGAGUCAGUCCAGGGCCAGCCAGUCCUGUGAUGGACCACACACUUUACUACCAAGGACACUUAUACACUUACAUACACUUACUUACAUACAGUCCAAGAAGGAGCAGAGGGAGUCAAUCCAGGGCCAGCCAGUCCUGUGAUGGACCACACACUUUACUUCUAAAGACACUUAUACACUUACAUACACUUACAUACAGUCCAAGAAGGAGCAGAGGGAGUCAGUCCAGGGCCAGCCAGUCCUGUGAUGGACCACACACUUUACUACUAAGGACACUUAUACACUUACUUACAUACAGUCCAAGAAGGAGCAGAGGGAGUCAGUCCAGGGACAGCCAGUCCUGUGAUGGACCACACACUUUACUACCAAGGACACUUAUACACUUACAUACACUUAUAGUUUACAGUCGAGUUUCUUUAGUUAGUUUUUUUUUGUCAUUUAGUUCUCAGUUAAUUUUGUUACUUAUUUCUCCAUUUAUUUAUUACUCUCUCUCUCUCUCUCUCUCUCUCUCAGGUCAUAAA